rnacentral:tRNA from 1 species
GAGAGAGGCUCGCAGCAACAAAGACUGCUAAUCUUUGCCACCCCAGUUAGACCCCGGGGCUCACUCG